AGUCGUAACAAGGUUUCCGUAGGUGAACCUGCGGAAGGAUCAUUACAGUAGUCACCCAGGUUGCCGCAAGGCCUCCUGGGUAACCUACCACCCUUUGUUUAUUACACUUUGUUGCUUUGGCAAGCCUGCCCUCGGGCUGCUGGCUCCGGCCGGCGAGCGCUUGCCAGAGGACCUAAACUCUGUUUGUCUAUACUGUCUGAGUACUAUAUAAUAGUUAAAACUUUCAACAACGGAUCUCUUGGUUCUGGCAUCGAUGAAGAACGCAGCGAAAUGCGAUAAGUAAUGUGAAUUGCAGAAUUCAGUGAAUCAUCGAAUCUUUGAACGCACAUUGCGCCCCCUGGUAUUCCGGGGGGCAUGCCUGUCCGAGCGUCAUUACAACCCUCAAGCUCAGCUUGGUAUUGGGCCCCGCCGACCCGGCGGGCCCUAAAGUCAGUGGCGGUGCCGUCCGGCUCCGAGCGUAGUAAUUCUUCUCGCUCUGGAGGUCCGGUCGUGUGCUCGCCAGCAACCCCCAAUUUUUUUCAGGUUGACCUCGGAUCAGGUAGGGAUACCCGCUGAACUUAAGCAUAUCAAUAA
rnacentral:misc_RNA from 1 species